UGCGUAGGCGGCUUGAUAAGUCAGUGGUGAAAGCCCAGAGCUCAACUUUGGAACUGCCAUUGAUACUGUCAAGCUUGAGUGUAGUUGAAGUAGGCGGAAUGUAGCAUGUAGCGGUGAAAUGCUUAGAUAUGCUACAGAACACCGAUUGCGAAGGCAGCUUACUAAACUAUUACUGACGCUGAGGCACGAAAGCGUGGGGAGCGAACAGGAUUAGAUACCCUGGUAGUC
rnacentral:rRNA from 1 species